AGUGGCGGACGGGUGAGUAACGCGUAGGAAUCUACCUGAUAGUGGGGGAUAGCCCGAAGAAAUUCGGAUUAAUACCGCAUAAUCUAUUCGUAGUAAAGUGGGGGACUUUCGAGCCUCACGCUAUCAGAUGAGCCUGCGUAAGAUUAGCUAGUUGGUAGGGUAAAAGCCUACCAAGGCGACGAUCUUUAGCUGGUCUGAGAGGAUGAUCAGCCACAUCGGGACUGAGACACGGCCCGAACUCCUACGGGAGGCAGCAGUGGGGAAUAUUGGACAAUGGGGGCAACCCUGAUCCAGCAAUACCGCGUGUGUGAAGAAGGCCUGAGGGUUGUAAAGCACUUUCAAUUGUGAAGAAAAGCUAGUGGUUAAUAGCCAUUAGCCUUGACGUUAACUUUAGAAGAAGCACCGGCUAACUCCGUGCCAGCAGCCGCGGUAAUACGGAGGGUGCAAGCGUUAAUCGGAAUUACUGGGCGUAAAGCGUGCGUAGGCGGUUUAUUAAGUCAGAUGUGAAAGCCCCGGGCUUAACCUGGGAACUGCAUUUGAAACUGGUCAACUAGAGUAUGGUAGAGGAAAGUGGAAUUUCUGGUGUAGCGGUGAAAUGCGUAGAUAUCAGAAGGAACAUCAAUGGCGAAGGCCACUUUCUGGACAUACUGACGCUGAAGUACGAAAGCGUGGGUAGCAAACAGGAUUAGACUCUCUGG
rnacentral:rRNA from 1 species